rnacentral:rRNA from 1 species
CGUAGGCGGAUAAUUGAAAAGACAGUAAAAGACUGAGGAAAACCCUCUUUAUUCUGUAUUCACUGAUUAUCUUGAGUUUUGAAGGCGGUUUAUUGAAUUCUUGAAGUAAGGGUGAAAUCUGUUGAUAUCUGGAAGACAUUCGAUAGCGAAAGCAUUAACCGAUUCAGAUCUAACGCUCAGGUACUAAAGUAUGGGGAUCAAAUAGGAUUAGAGACCCUAGUAGUCCAUACCUUAAACAAUGAGUGUUCAACAUCUUUUAAAGUGCUAUCUGGGGUUUAAAGCUAACGCGUGAAACACUCCGCCUGGGGAAUGUGGCCGCAAGGUCUAAACUCAAAGGAAUUGACGGAGACUUAUACAAGG